rnacentral:rRNA from 1 species
CAAUAGCGUAUAUUAAAGUUGUUGCAGUUAAAAAGCUCGUAGUUGGAUUUCUGGUGGGAGCGAUCGGUCUGGCGCUUAGCGCGAGUACUUGCAUCGUCUCCGGCCAUCCGUGGGGAGAGUCUGACUGGCAUUAGGUUGUCGGGCAGAGGAUCCUCAUCGUUUACUGUGAAAAAAUUAGAGUGUUCAAAGCAGGCUUAUGCCGUUGAAUAUAUUAGCAUGGAAUAAUAAGAUAGGACUUUGGUACUAUUUUGUUGGUUUGCGCACCAAAGUAAUGAUUAAUAGGGACAGUUGGGGGUAUUCGUAUUCCGUUGUCAGAGGUGAAAUUCUUGGAUUACGGAAGACGAACUACUGCGAAAGCAUUUACCAAGGAUGUUUUCAUUAA